rnacentral:rRNA from 1 species
GAGUUUGAUCGUGGCUCAGAUUGAACGCUGGCGGCAUGCCUUACACAUGCAAGUCGAACGGCAGCAUGAUCUAGCUUGCUAGAUUGAUGGCGAGUGGCGAACGGGUGAGUAAUACAUCGGAACGUGCCCUGUAGUGGGGGAUAACUAGUCGAAAGAUUAGCUAAUACCGCAUACGACCUGAGGGUGAAAGUGGGGGGCCGCAAGGCCUCAUGCUAUAGGAGCGGCCGAUGUCUGAUUAGCUAGUUGGUGGGUAAAGGCCCACCAAGGCGACGAUCAGUAGCUGGUCUGAGAGGACGAUCAGCCACACUGGGACUGAGACACGGCCCAGACUCCUACGGGAGGCAGCAGUGGGGAAUUUUGGACAAGUGGGCGAAAGCCGUGAUCCAGCAAUGCGCGUGUGUGAAGAAGG